rnacentral:rRNA from 1 species
GCAAGUCGAACGGUAACAGGUCUUCGGAUGCUGACGAGUGGCGAACGGGUGAGUAAUACAUCGGAACGUGCCUAGUAGUGGGGGAUAACUACUCGAAAGAGUAGCUAAUACCGCAUGAGAUCUACGGAUGAAAGCAGGGGACCUUCGGGCCUUGUGCUACUAGAGCGGCUGAUGGCAGAUUAGGUAGUUGGUGGGGUAAAGGCUUACCAAGCCUGCGAUCUGUAGCUGGUCUGAGAGGACGACCAGCCACACUGGGACUGAGACACGGCCCAGACUCCUACGGGAGGCAGCAGUGGGGAAUUUUGGACAAUGGGCGAAAGCCUGAUCCAGCAAUGCCGCGUGCAGGAUGAAGGCCCUCGGGUUGUAAACUGCUUUUGUACGGAACGAAAAGCCUGGGGCUAAUAUCCCCGGGUCAUGACGGUACCGUAAGAAUAAGCACCGGCUAACUACGUGCCAGCAGCCGCGGUAAUACGUAGGGUGCAAGCGUUAAUCGGAAUUACUGGGCGUAAAGCGUGCGCAGGCGGUUUUGUAAGACAGUGGUGAAAUCCCCGGGCUCAACCUGGGAACUGCCAUUGUGACUGCAAGGCUAGAGUGCGGCAGAGGGGGAUGGAAUUCCGCGUGUAGCAGUGAAAUGCGUAGAUAUGCGGAGGAACACCGAUGGCGAAGGCAAUCCCCUGGGCCUGCACUGACGCUCAUGCACGAAAGCGUGGGGAGCAAACAGGAUUAGAUACCCUGGUAGUCCACGCCCUAAACGAUGUCAACUGGUUGUUGGGUCUUAACUGACUCAGUAACGAAGCUAACGCGUGAAGUUGACCGCCUGGGGAGUACGGCCGCAAGGU